GGACGCGACAACAUCACAAGAGGCCAAAGACAGCGACCAUAGAUCUGGCCACAGGCGGUGCGCUUACUUUGGUUUCGCUGAUACGGCUAUGCUUGAAAAUCGAUUUGGAGCAGCAUGAAGAGAUGGGAUGGCUGACCGAAAGAGGACGUGGAUGUCGUGAUGGACCCCCAAUGAUCACCGUCGUCGUCGACCCGGAAGAAGUCUUCGGGCUGGUUAUGGCAUGGCGUUGAAGAGGUGGGUCAGAGUGACUCGCCUUCCAGGAGACGGUUCAAUCAUCGCAGUUGAUAUGGACGUAGGUAAAUAAUCUAAGAUUAUGAAUUCGAGAUGGAUUUGUUGCUCCUUUUGGAUUGAAAUUUACACUGAUCUGUAAGAUGUGACUGAGCGCAAUGGUUGUCCCCGUGGUAACUGGGAGACUCCUAGCCAAAGCAAACUAUCUGAUGUUCGAAUCUGGAGGAGUUUAGAGCUGCAGGAGAUGCUGUUGGAAUGAUGCACUGGAUGGAUCGGAGACUAGUGAGGUGACUUAAAGAGGAAGAAGAAGAUGAAGCAGUGUGGAGGACACGAAUGUGAUGGAGGAAGAGGGAGAAGGAAGCAUACUUGUUGACAGCGCACGACAAGCAAUGGGCAGUUGGCUGUAGAA